rnacentral:rRNA from 1 species
UAAGUCGACCGCCUGGGGAGUACGGCCGCAAGGUUAAAACUCAAAUGAAUUGACGGGGGCCCGCACAAGCGGUGGAGCAUGUGGUUUAAUUCGAUGCAACGCGAAGAACCUUACCUGGUCUUGACAUCCACGGAAGUUUUCAGAGAUGAGAAUGUGCCUUCGGGAACCGUGAGACAGGUGCUGCAUGGCUGUCGUCAGCUCGUGUUGUGAAAUGUUGGGUUAAGUCCCGCAACGAGCGCAACCCUUAUCCUUUGUUGCCAGCGGUCCGGCCGGGAACUCAAAGGAGACUGCCAGUGAUAAACUGGAGGAAGGUGGGGAUGACGUCAAGUCAUCAUGGCCCUUACGACCAGGGCUACACACGUGCUACAAUGGCGCAUACAAAGAGAAGCGACCUCGCGAGAGCAAGCGGAUCUCAUAAAGUGCGUCGUAGUCCGGAUUGGAGUCUGCAACUCGACUCCAUGAAGUCGGAAUCGCUAGUAAUCGUGGAUCAGAAUGCCACGGUGAAUACGUUCCCGGGCCUUGUACACACCGCCCGUCACACCAUGGGAGUGGGUUGCAAAAGAAGUAGGUAGCUUAACCUUCGGGAGGGCGCUUACCACUUUGUGAUUCAUGACUGGGGUGAAGUCGUAACAAGGUAACCGUAGGGGAACCUGCGGUUGGAUCACCUCCUUACCUUAAAGAAGC